GGUAGCGUGGCCGAGUGGUCUAAGGCGCUGGUUUUAGGCACCAGUCUGAUAAAGGCGCGGGUUCGAAUCCCGCCGCUGCCA
rnacentral:tRNA from 1 species